UACGUAGGGGGCAAGCGUUGUCCGGAAUCAUUGGGCGUAAAGCGCGUGUAGGCGGUUCAGUAAGUCUGCUGUGAAAGUCCAGGGCUCAACCCUGGGAUGCCGGUGGAUACUGCUGGACUAGAGUGCGGAAGAGGCGAGUGGAAUUCCCGGUGUAGCGGUGAAAUGCGUAGAUAUCGGGAGGAACAUCGAUGGCGAAAGCAACCGCCUGGGCCUGAACUGACACUGAGACACGAAAGCGUGGGGAGCAAACAGG
rnacentral:rRNA from 1 species